AGGAUGAACGCUAGCGGCAGGCUUAACACAUGCAAGUCGAGGGGCAGCACGUCUUCGGAUGGUGGCGACCGGCGCACGGGUGAGUAACGCGUAUGCAAUCUACCUUUACUGGGGCGAUAGCCCGGGGAAACCCGGAUUAAUAUCCCAUGGUACCAUGAUAUAGCAUUAUAUUAUGGUUAAAGCUUUGGCGGUAAAAGAUGAGCAUGCGUCCUAUUAGCUUGAUGGUAAGGUAACGGCUUACCAUGGCUAUGAUAGGUAGGGGUCCUGAGAGGGAGACCCCCCCACACUGGUACUGAGACACGGACCAGACUCCUACGGGAGCAGCAGUGAGGAAUAUUGGACAAUGGGCGAGAGCCUGAUCCAGCCAUGCCGCGUGCAGGAAGACGGCCCUAUGGGUUGUAAACUGUCUUUUAAUACGGAAGAAACACUCCCUCGUGAGGAAUUUGACGGUACGUAUGAAUAAGGAUCGGCUAACUCCGUGCCAGCAGCCG
rnacentral:rRNA from 1 species